AUUGAACGCUGGCGGCAGGCCUAACACAUGCAAGUCGAGCGGAUGAAGGGAGCUUGCUCCUGGAUUCAGCGGCGGACGGGUGAGUAAUGCCUAGGAAUCUGCCUGGUAGUGGGGGAUAACGUCCGGAAACGGGCGCUAAUACCGCAUACGUCCUGAGGGAGAAAGUGGGGGAUCUUCGGACCUCACGCUAUCAGAUGAGCCUAGGUCGGAUUAGCUAGUUGGUGGGGUAAAGGCCUACCAAGGCGACGAUCCGUAACUGGUCUGAGAGGAUGAUCAGUCACACUGGAACUGAGACACGGUCCAGACUCCUACGGGAGGCAGCAGUGGGGAAUAUUGGACAAUGGGCGAAAGCCUGAUCCAGCCAUGCCGCGUGUGUGAAGAAGGUCUUCGGAUUGUAAAGCACUUUAAGUCGGGAGGAAGGGCAGUAAGUUAAUACCUUGCUGUUUUGACGUUACCAACAGGAUAAGCACCGGCUAACUUCGUG
rnacentral:rRNA from 1 species